UCCCAAGAAGGAAAUGCAGAAAUGGAGAGAGGCAUGCACGGAGCAGGUGUACAGCUUCCAGGUAGUCCGACCUCACUGAGCUAAGGACACUGAGCAGCUGGGCGGGCGGAGGAGCAUGGGCUGCAUUCCCAUCUGCACGGAAACUCAUGCCAGCCCGACCUGCAGGGAGACGGUGUUCCAGCCUCUCCAGCUCCGAGCCCAGACACGGGCUCUGGGGCCGCAAACCAACUUGCUUCUCAGAGACCUUCCAAGCCCUUCUGAGGGUUAAAGCAAGCUUCAGGUUCAUUGGCUGUUACUGUUGCUGUUGCUGAGAAGCUGAGGAGAACUGAAGUCUCCGUUCCUCUCCCUCAGCCUGCCCAGCUUUCAUCUGUGCAGACAGGAGCACGAUGAUGCGUGAAGCGGCUCCGCACCCGGCCUGACAACACUCCCCUCUCCAGUUGCUUGCCCUCCGAGUGCGCGCUGGCCCAGCUGAUGCAAGAUGACAAAUUCCAGCUGGUAACUGUCAAAUCUGCUCGGCCGCCAGGAGGUCUGCAUGGAUGUUAAUUGCCCCGAAUAGGUCAAGGCUAGUCAAAUCUCCUCUUUCUCACUGUCCUCCGUGCUUUAGGAUGCUUGGGCUGCAAGGCCUUCUGAAGGUCACCUCCUCAUCCCCCUGCCUCCAGACAAGCUUAUUCUCUUAUCAGUCCUUGUAAAUGCCUUGGAGGUUUGCAGAGGAUUCCAGCAAAGGAGGACCCAGGCUCGAGGUCCUUCUAAACAGUCAAGCUGCUCUUUCUGACGCUGUUUCAGCUUCCUCUGCCUUCUAUUGCUUCUACUUCACGUGGCAGAUUCCGUUCUGACCAAGGUGCUCCUUUUCGCAGCACCGGCCAUUCUGUUGACAUCAUAGUCUGUUGUUAUGGCAACUGUGUGAUAUCACAGCAGACACUCAAAGGGCUGGGCUGAUCUAAUUGUUUGGACUGAGGUCAGAGGAAUAAUGGGCUCAGUAAACAGAAAAAUAAACGGACGACAUUAUUAUUUAACCCGUGAAGGGAUGAGCUGGCCAGGUGUAACCGGGGUCACGGCUGUUGAUAUUUAAACGGCUCAUCCUAAAUCCAAAAGGUCAAUAUAUUCAGCCAUUUAGUGAGGCUUUGGUCAAUGAUUUAUCUUGGUGACGGAGGCCUAAGAUCCAGGCUUGAACCUAUUUCUAGUUAAUUGAGCCAGAACCUUCUCCAGACGCCUUCUUGAGUUCCCUGUCUGCCCACCAUAGGUACCCAAUAAAGUUUUGUUGAAUGUACAAAUGAA